rnacentral:rRNA from 1 species
GACGAACGCUGGCGGCGUGCUUAACACAUGCAAGUCGAACGGAAAGGCCCUGCUUUUGUGGGGUGCUCGAGUGGCGAACGGGUGAGUAACACGUGAGUAACCUGCCCUUGACUUUGGGAUAACUUCAGGAAACUGGGGCUAAUACCGGAUAGGAGCUCCUGCUGCAUGGUGGGGGUUGGAAAGUUUCGGCGGUUGGGGAUGGACUCGCGGCUUAUCAGCUUGUUGGUGGGGUAGUGGCUUACUAAGGCUUUGACGGGUAGCCGGCCUGAGAGGGUGACCGGCCACAUUGGGACUGAGAUACGGCCCAGACUCCUACGGGAGGCAGCAGUGGGGAAUAUUGCACAAUGGGCGGAAGCCUGAUGCAGCAACGCCGCGUGCGGGAUGACGGCCUUCGGGUUGUAAACCGCUUUCGCCUGUGACGAAGCGCGAGUGACGGUAAUGGGUAAAGAAGCACCGGCUAACUACGUG